rnacentral:rRNA from 1 species
GACGAACGCUGGCGGCGUGCUUAACACAUGCAAGUCGAACGGAAAGGCCCUGCUUUUGUGGGGUGCUCGAGUGGCGAACGGGUGAGUAACACGUGAGUAACCUGCCCUUGACUUUGGGAUAACUUCAGGAAACUGGGGCUAAUACCGGCUAGGAGCUCCUGCUGCUUGGUGGGGGUUGGAAAGUUUCGGCGGUUGGGGAUGGACUCGCGGCUUAUGAGCUUGUUGGUGGGGUAGUGUCUUACCAAGGCCUUGACGGGUAGCCGGGCUGGGAGGGUGACCGGCCACAUUAGGACUGAGAUGCGGCACAGACUCCUACGGGAGGGAGGAGUAGGGAAUAGUGCACAAUGGGCGGAAGCCUGAUGCAGCCACGCCGCGUGCGGGAUGACAGCCUUCGGGUUGUAAACCGAUUUCGCCUGUGACGAAGCGUGAGUGACGGUAAUGGGUAAAGAAGCACCGGCUAACUACGUG